CCUACGGGAGGCAGCAGUGGGGAAUAUUGCACAAUGGGCGAAAGCCUGAUGCAGCAACGCCGCGUGAAGGAAGACGGUUUUCGGAUUGUAAACUUCUGGUCAUAGGGAAGAAAAAUGAAGGGAACGAAGGAGCAAGCGAAGGCUAACUACGUGCCAGCAGCCGCGGUAAGACGUAGGUGGCAAGCGUGGUCCGGAAUUACUGGGUGGAAAGGGAGCGGAGGCGGGAAGCCACGUCAGCUGUGAAAACUACGGGCUUAACCUGUAGACUGCAGUUGAAACUGGCUUUCUUGAGUGAAGUAGAGGUUGUCGGACUUCCCAGUGUAGCGGUGAAAUGCGUAGAUAUUCGGAGGAACACCGGUGGCGAAGGCGGCCCACUGGGCUUUAACUGACGCUGAGGCUCGAAAGUGUGGGGAGCAAACAGGAUUAGAUACCCUUGUAGUC
rnacentral:rRNA from 1 species